rnacentral:rRNA from 1 species
CCUACGGGGGGCUGCAGUGAGGAAUAUUGGUCAAUGGGCGCGAGCCUGAACCAGCCAAGUAGCGUGAAGGAUGACGGCCCUACGGGUUGUAAACUUCUUUUGUCAGGGAGCAAUUGGGUCCACGCGUGGGCUUAGCGAGAGUACCUGAAGAAAAAGCAUCGGCUAACUCCGUGCCAGCAGCCGCGGUAAUACGGAGGAUGCGAGCGUUAUCCGGAUUUAUUGGGUGUAAAGGGAGCGUAGACGGCUGUGCAAGUCUGGAGUGAAAGGCAUGGGCUCAACCUGUGGACUGCUUUGGAAACUGUGCGGCUUGAGUGUCGGAGAGGCAAGUGGAAUUCCUAGUGUAGCGGUGAAAUGCGUAGAUAUUAGGAGGAACACCAGUGGCGAAGGCGGCUUGCUGGACGAUGACUGACGUUGAGGCUCGAAAGCGUGGGGAGCAAACAGGAUUAGAUACCCUUGUAGUC